UACUUAAUUUCGCGCGGGAUCAGAGUAGUAUUGUAUCGUUAUUGUGUUGUUGAUGAAGGCGGGCGACAUGGCGAAGGAGUGUUCCUUACUACUCACGGAAAUAACUCCAGGCUGGUUGAACUGACGACAUUCGUAAUAUGAAGGAAGGUCUACGUGAUUUCGUGGCGAUUGUCACGGACUCCAGAAAGACUUUAAACCAGUUGAUAAAACUACGGUUGGAGAAACGCUGAAGCAAAAAUGUAAAGCAAGAUAGCCUAUUCUCAAGCAAGGUUAAGAUGGAAGAAACGACUGAAGCAAAAAUUCUAAAGCAAGGAUACUAUUUCUCAAGCUACGUUCCCAGUGUGUUGACUGGGACAACGAGAUGAUGCGAACUAAACUUAUUCAGGAACUUUGUUCGAUAUAUUUCCUCCACGAUAGCUUUAAAUGAGGUGAGGAUGGAGUCGGGAAUUAAUGAUUUAAUGUGUGAUUAGCUAUUUUAUAACUUUAGAAAUAUUAAAUUGAAGUGUACUAUAUAUGAAUGGCGCUGACUUCAUGAAUAAUUGCAAAUUGUUACAUUUUCUUGACAUGAAUUCAAAUAAAAUUACUUUUCUCAACCCCUCAGCUUUGUAAUCCCAGGGUUUCACUAUACUUUGACUUUAGGCGAACCACAUGUACAAUCACGUCUCAAUAUUACACUAAGCAAGUUAU